rnacentral:rRNA from 1 species
AGGACGAACGCUGGCGGCGUGCCUAACACAUGCAAGUGGAGCGACGAACCGGGGCUUGCCCCGGGGCAGAGCCGCGAACGGGUGAGUAACACGUGGGUUACCUGCCCCGAUGACUGGGACAACCCGUCGAAAGACGGGCUAAUACCGGAUGUGCCCCUUGGGGGAAAGGAAGCUUCGGCCUCCGCAUCGGGAUGGGCCCGCGGCGCAUUAGCUUGUUGGUGGGGUAAUGGCUUACCAAGGCGACGAUGCGUAGCUGGUCUGAGAGGACGAUCAGCCACACUGGGACUGAGACACGGCCCAGACUCCUACGGGAGGCAGCAGUGGGGAAUCUUGCACAAUGCGCGAAAGCGUGAUGCAGCAACGCCGCGUGCGGGAAGAAGGCCUUAGGGUGUAAACGCUUCAGUUGGGACGAAGCUUCGAGUCGUUAAUGCGUUUGGAGUGACGGUACCUUCAGAACGUAAGCGACCGGUACUAACGUACAGUCGACCAG